GGGCAAGAUGUGUAAUGUAGGCCUACGCACUGCGCGCUACGCCUCUCCAUUACUCCCCUUAUUCGCCUUCGGCUCAACGGGGAAUCUUGCUCUGCGAGGCU
rfam:Nitrosospira sp. NpAV contig_15, whole genome shotgun sequence.